AGCGUACACGGUGGAUGCCCUGGCAGUCAGAGGCGAUGAAGGACGUGCUAAUCUGCGAUAAGCGUCGGUAAGGUGAUAUGAACCGUUAUAACCGGCGAUUUCCGAAUGGGGAAACCCAGUGUGAUUCGUCACACUAUCAUUAACUGAAUCCAUAGGUUAAUGAGGCGAACCGGGGGAACUGAAACAUCUAAGUACCCCGAGGAAAAGAAAUCAACCGAGAUUCCCCCAGUAGCGGCGAGCGAACGGGGAGCAGCCCAGAGCCUGAAUCAGUGUGUGUGUUAGUGGAAGCGUCUGGAAAGGCGCGCGAUACAGGGUGACAGCCCCGUACACAAAAAUGCACAUGCUGUGAGCUCGAUGAGUAGGGCGGGACACGUGGUAUCCUGUCUGAAUAUGGGGGGACCAUCCUCCAAGGCUAAAUACUCCUGACUGACCGAUAGUGAACCAGUACCGUGAGGGAAAGGCGAAAAGAACCCCGGCGAGGGGAGUGAAAAAGAACCUGAAACCGUGUACGUACAAGCAGUGGGAGCCUCUUUAUGGGGUGACUGCGUACCUUUUGUAUAAUGGGUCAGCGACUUAUAUUCUGUAGCAAGGUUAACCGAAUAGGGGAGCCGAAGGGAAACCGAGUCUUAACUGGGCGUUAAGUUGCAGGGUAUAGACCCGAAACCCGGUGAUCUAGCCAUGGGCAGGUUGAAGGUUGGGUAACACUAACUGGAGGACCGAACCGACUAAUGUUGAAAAAUUAGCGGAUGACUUGUGGCUGGGGGUGAAAGGCCAAUCAAACCGGGAGAUAGCUGGUUCUCCCCGAAAGCUAUUUAGGUAGCGCCUCGUGAAUUCAUCUCCGGGGGUAGAGCACUGUUUCGGCAAGGGGGUCAUCCCGACUUACCAACCCGAUGCAAACUGCGAAUACCGGAGAAUGUUAUCACGGGAGACACACGGCGGGUGCUAACGUCCGUCGUGAAGAGGGAAACAACCCAGACCGCCAGCUAAGGUCCCAAAGUCAUGGUUAAGUGGGAAACGAUGUGGGAAGGCCCAGACAGCCAGGAUGUUGGCUUAGAAGCAGCCAUCAUUUAAAGAAAGCGUAAUAGCUCACUGGUCGAGUCGGCCUGCGCGGAAGAUGUAACGGGGCUAAACCAUGCACCGAAGCUGCGGCAGCGACGCUUAUGCGUUGUUGGGUAGGGGAGCGUUCUGUAAGCCUGCGAAGGUGUACUGUGAGGUAUGCUGGAGGUAUCAGAAGUGCGAAUGCUGACAUAAGUAACGAUAAAGCGGGUGAAAAGCCCGCUCGCCGGAAGACCAAGGGUUCCUGUCCAACGUUAAUCGGGGCAGGGUGAGUCGACCCCUAAGGCGAGGCCGAAAGGCGUAGUCGAUGGGAAACAGGUUAAUAUUCCUGUACUUGGUGUUACUGCGAAGGGGGGACGGAGAAGGCUAUGUUGGCCGGGCGACGGUUGUCCCGGUUUAAGCGUGUAGGCUGGUUUUCCAGGCAAAUCCGGAAAAUCAAGGCUGAGGCGUGAUGACGAGGCACUACGGUGCUGAAGCAACAAAUGCCCUGCUUCCAGGAAAAGCCUCUAAGCAUCAGGUAACAUCAAAUCGUACCCCAAACCGACACAGGUGGUCAGGUAGAGAAUACCAAGGCGCUUGAGAGAACUCGGGUGAAGGAACUAGGCAAAAUGGUGCCGUAACUUCGGGAGAAGGCACGCUGAUACGUAGGUGAAGUCCCUUGCGGAUGGAGCUGAAAUCAGUCGAAGAUACCAGCUGGCUGCAACUGUUUAUUAAAAACACAGCACUGUGCAAACACGAAAGUGGACGUAUACGGUGUGACGCCUGCCCGGUGCCGGAAGGUUAAUUGAUGGGGUUAGCGCAAACGCGAAGCUCUUGAUCGAAGCCCCGGUAAACGGCGGCCGUAACUAUAACGGUCCUAAGGUAGCGAAAUUCCUUGUCGGGUAAGUUCCGACCUGCACGAAUGGCGUAAUGAUGGCCAGGCUGUCUCCACCCGAGACUCAGUGAAAUUGAACUCGCUGUGAAGAUGCAGUGUACCCGCGGCAAGACGGAAAGACCCCGUGAACCUUUACUAUAGCUUGACACUGAACAUUGAGCCUUGAUGUGUAGGAUAGGUGGGAGGCUUUGAAGUGUGGACGCCAGUCUGCAUGGAGCCGACCUUGAAAUACCACCCUUUAAUGUUUGAUGUUCUAACGUUGGCCCCUAAUCGGGGUUGCGGACAGUGUCUGGUGGGUAGUUUGACUGGGGCGGUCUCCUCCUAAAGAGUAACGGAGGAGCACGAAGGUUGGCUAAUCCUGGUCGGACAUCAGGAGGUUAGUGCAAUGGCAUAAGCCAGCUUGACUGCGAGCGUGACGGCGCGAGCAGGUGCGAAAGCAGGUCAUAGUGAUCCGGUGGUUCUGAAUGGAAGGGCCAUCGCUCAACGGAUAAAAGGUACUCCGGGGAUAACAGGCUGAUACCGCCCAAGAGUUCAUAUCGACGGCGGUGUUUGGCACCUCGAUGUCGGCUCAUCACAUCCUGGGGCUGAAGUAGGUCCCAAGGGUAUGGCUGUUCGCCAUUUAAAGUGGUACGCGAGCUGGGUUUAGAACGUCGUGAGACAGUUCGGUCCCUAUCUGCCGUGGGCGCUGGAGAACUGAGGGGGGCUGCUCCUAGUACGAGAGGACCGGAGUGGACGCAUCACUGGUGUUCGGGUUGUCAUGCCAAUGGCACUGCCCGGUAGCUAAAUGCGGAAGAGAUAAGUGCUGAAAGCAUCUAAGCACGAAACUUGCCCCGAGAUGAGUUCU
rnacentral:rRNA from 1 species